ACGGGGUGCAGCAGGCGAGAAAACUUUGCAAUGUGCGAAAGCACGACAAGGUUAAUCCGAGUGAUUCCUGCUAAAGGAAUCUUUUGUUAGUCGUAAAACCACUAUUGAAUAAGGGGUGGGCAAGUUCUGGUGUCAGCCGCCGCGGUAAAACCAGCACCUCAAGUGGUCAGGAUGAUUAUUGGGCCUAAAGCAUCCGUAGCCGGCUCUGUUAGUUUUCGGUUAAAUCCAUAUGCUCAACAUAUGGGCCGCCGGGAAUACUACAAAGCUAGGGAGUGGGAGAGGUAGACGGUACUCCGUAGGAAGGGGUAAAAUCCUUUGAUCUAUGGAUGGCCACCAGUGGCGAAGGCGGUCUACCAGAACACGUUCGACGGUGAGGGAUGAAAGCUGGGGGAGCAAACCGGAUUAGAUACCCGGGUAGUCCCAGCUGUAAACUAUGCAAACUCAGUGAUGCAUUGGCUUGAUGCCAAUGCAGUGUUGCAGGGAAGCCGUUAAGUUUGCCGCCUGGGAAGUACGUACGCAAGUAUGAAACUUAAAGGAAUUGGCGGGGGAGCAC
rnacentral:rRNA from 1 species